GGAGUUAGCCGGUGCUUCUUCUGUGAGUGAUGUCCUUCCUGCCGGCUAUUAACCCGCAGGCCUUCUUCCUCACUGAAAGUGCUUUACAACCCGAAGGCCUUCUUCACACACGCGGCAUGGCUGGAUCAGGGUUGCCCCCAUUGUCCAAUAUUCCCCACUGCUGCCUCCCGUAGGAGUCUGGGCCGUGUCUCAGUCCCAGUGUGGCUGAUCAUCCUCUCAGACCAGCUACGGAUCGUCGCCUUGGUGAGCCGUUACCUCACCAACCAGCUAAUCCGACAUAGGCUCAUCCGAUAGCGCGAGGCCCGAAGGUCCCCCGCUUUCCCCCGUAGGGCGUAUGCGGUAUUAGCCUGGGUUUCCCCAGGUUAUCCCCCACUACCGGGCAGAUUCCUAUGCAUUACUCACCCGUCCGCCGCUCGCCACCAGGGAGCAAGCUCCCCGUGCUGCCGCUCGACUUGCAUGUGUUAGGCCUGCCGCCAGCGUUCAAUCUGAGCANGAUCAACUACUGA
rnacentral:rRNA from 1 species